UAAAUUUGAUCCCAUGCUAUUCGAGAUUGUGAUCUCCCCGUCUCAAAGUUUUUCUUGGACGAUGUCUAGGGUGAGUCCUGGCAUCGAGAGAUAGGAUGGGGGUGUACUGGAUUGCUGUGUUUUCUUCCGAAAUACCGUAAACGGAACUAGUCCUUCGAGACUACGGAAAUCCGUUAGCUGUGGGGAAUUUUUGUACAAACUCUGCAGAGUCAUAAAUCUCCAAAUCAUCUUAUCCAUAUCCAAAUAUUGCGCUGACUUAUUCUGACAAGUGCCAGUUUUUGGUGACAGAUACUCCGGUGAAUCUCAUGAGCACUAAGCCUGGUUAACAGUUUAUUCCUGUGGAUGGACUAACCCGUUUAUUAUCAUGAACUGAAUAUUUAUUAUGAGUAUUGUUUACUUGUGGAUUAAAGCCCUUUCUGUGAUGUCGCUCAGACGUCUGACUGUGGCAUUUCUUUUAAAGCCCUUUCUGUGAUGUCGCUCAGACGUCCGACUGUGGCAUUUCUUUUAAAGCCCUUUCUGUGAUGUCACUCAGACGUCCGACUGUGGCAUUUCUUUUAAAGCCCUUUCUGUGAUGUCGCUCAGACGUCCGACUGUGGCAUGAUUUUUUUUUCUGUUAUUAUUUGUUCACCCUUCGAGGCGUCGCUUCAGACACCCGAUCAGUUCUCAUUUAUAUUCUGUUGGGAUUUCAGGCAGACUACCGCCGUUUCCCUCGCACUUAUUUCGUUAUGCAAAUAUUUUAAUUGUGCAUUGGGAAGAUUAUUCAUGACGCAUCCAUGCAUGCAUUUUUUAUAUCUUAUGUCCGAACUGUCUUGUGAGUACUUUCAAAGUACUCACUGGCUUGUUGAUUUGGCCAGAUGCUGACGAAGGCGAUCUCAUGGAUGAAGAGUUCGAUAGUGAGUCCGACGCCUAGAGGAAUCCCAGUCAGUCUCGUGCGACCCUAGUCUUGGUCACAGUUUUAUAACCGCUUCCGCAACCCGAAUAAAUUUAUCGAGCCUCACCUCGACGCUCGAUGAGAUGUCAGUUUGAGAGUCGUGUUACCACACUCCCCAUUGUGUUAUUCCACCACCACUAUAUCCUCGAGUCAGUAGUAUGCCACCACACCAUCGUGCUAUAUCCGCCAUUAUGUAUAAUUAUUGGCGCGCUUGUAAUAAUUCGUUGAGCAGCCCUAGCUCAACCCUGUAAUAUAUUCUAUGCUACUAGCUUAUUAUAUCAAGUAUUUGUCUACCAGUGAGGAGGAUUUUCUCUCAUACUGGACUCAAAGAUUGGUUUCUCAAUAAAUAUUUUUAUUGGAAAACCUGUCGCGACAAGCUUGGUACCAGAGCCAGGCUGACUGUAGGAAGCCACUAGGUGCGGUCGCUAAUCGGUUAUUAGCAUGAUAGAGCCGAUUUAAUUUUUGUUGCAACUGUAGUCAUUUUCUGACAGUCAGCAUAAAUUUAUGAUCUGACCAUUCAGGAUUUUUGCCUACUUUUGUAGUUGGCCGACAACAACUGCGAGUCUCAGACCUUCGCCAACGUACCCGAUGGGUUCGUCAAGCUUCUCUCCUUGAUCGUUCAGGUCGCGAUGGGGCCAUCCGUGCGCCCAGUCUUCACACUCCGCCAGCACAGAGUCAACGACGGUCUGACCAUGCACCAGGCCACAGUGCAGUUCAAGGGAGGGCGUGGUGAGCUACGCCGCUACCUGUUCGUGGGAAGAGCCAUGCCUACGGAGAGGCAUGCUAUGCAGAUGGCAGCCCGUGAGGCGAUAGCCCGCCUCAGGGAUGUCCUUCUCGCGAUGAAGACUCGUCGCUACCGUUAUCUUCCAUGCCAUGUGCCCUACACCUGCCACUACGCAUUCUCCUGCCCCAGAGGAGAACGAGACGAGGCUUUUGAGAUGCUUAUUGAGUAUCUCCGGGCUCUGGAGGCAGCCUUCGACAACCUGGUGGACGACUUCGUGGCUGCCCGCAUGGACUCAGUCCAUGGCUGUGCCGCCAACAGGAGGGAGCUCCUGCUCACUGCACCGCCACUGACUUUUGUCUCGUCUUCAGCAUCGCAUGCACCUACUCGUCACCUGCCUACCACCGGAGGGACCAACCAGGCCUUUGCGCCCACUCCAGCGCACACUGCACCACCCGCUGUGCCCACUCCCAUUCGUGUUGCUCCGCCCCUGGCACCAGUUCCAUCUACCCGACGCGGCUCUUCUCGUCUGGAGCCUAUUAGUGAGGAGGAGGUCGAGUCCCCAGCCUCACUACGCCUCACCCUUGGCAGGGCCAAGGAGAUCAUCGACAUUUCCGGCUGAGUGCGUUUGCCCGUCAUGCGAUGUACCGCUUUGUAAGAUGUGUUGUGAGAAGUAGCUUGUGUGCGCAUCAUGUAGAACUGGAGGAGUGGACUAGCCUAAAUAACAUGUCAGGAUUAUGUAUGCAUAUCCUGAGUGAUGUACUGUAUAAUUAUCACCCGCGUGUAAGAUAUGUAAUGAGCAGUCCUUCUCCGUGCGCAAAUCAAUUUGUUUUCUUAAGUGAUCUUGGACUUUUAAAUUGAUUGCCAUCCUUGUGCAUUUUUAUUUUUGGAGUUGUUUUUGACGACCAUCUUCAUUUUUCUUAUGAGUUUUAUAAAAUAUAUCCCCAGAGUGAAAAAUGUCUCGUCCUUGGACACGCUCCAUGCCUACUCCGCCAGAGGAAAAUUUGGACACUCAACCAGGCAACAAUUUCACGCAAGGGCAGUCGAGCCAACAGGGCAGUGAAACGGCACUUUCUCAAAUGUGCCGCCUUUAUGAACAGAGUCAGCAACAACAUUGUGAAAUGAUGAACCAAGUCAUCAACAUGGGAAAUUACCAUGGACAGUAUCCAUAGCAUUCCAAGUUAUCCGAGCUACAGAAGACGCGCCCCCAAACAUUUUCACAUACUGACAAGCCUCUUGAAGCCGAGGACUGGCUUCGGGACAUGGAGAGGAAAUUAAUUAUUGCAAAAUGUUCAGAUCCCGAGAAGGUAUUGUAUGCUCCGCACUAUCUUACAGGAGCAGCCGCAUCUUGGUGGGAGAAUUUUCUGCAUUUGCAUCCAAACGAAGGUGACAUAACCUGGGAUGAUUUCAAGGAAGGUUUCUGCGGUGCACACAUUCCUAAGAGCAUUAUGAAAAUCAAAAAGAGAGAGUUCGAUGACCUCAAACAAAGGAACUUGAUAGUGGCAGAUUACAACAGUCAAUUUACACUAUUAUCUCGCUACGCCAAUGAAGAGCGUAUGACUGAAAGCAAGAAGAUGGAGAAAUUCCUUGACGGUCUAGCGCCCGCACUUAAAUGACAACUGGUCGUGCACACUUUUCCUGAUUUUAAGACACUGGUGGACAAGGCCAUUACUCUGGAAAAUGAGAGACGCAGUCUGGAAGAUAUCCGCAAGCGAAAAAGGGACCAGACCAACCAUGCCCGCAAUCCCCGAAGCAAGACAGAUUUUCAAAAGGGUGGGACACACAAAUUCCCAUCAAAUGUCUCACGCCAAAUCAAGAAUUUCCAUGAAAGGGACAAGGAGUUCAUUUAUCGCCCCGGUGUUACAUGUUACGCCUGUGGAGAAGAAGGGCACUAUGCCAAGCAGUGUCCCAAGCCUAGAAACUCAACCCCAAAGCCAAACAACGGCGGUAAUAGUUCAACGCCCAAGCGAAACAAUUUUAAUCCCAGCAACAACCACAGGAAGGGUCAUCUGAACCACGUAACCAAAGAGGAGGCACAAAACGCUCCGGAUAUCGUACUCGGUACGUUUCCUGUCAACACAGUACCUGCAACGGUUUUGUUUGAUUCUGGAGCUUCUCACUCUUUCAUUUCGAAAAGUUUUGCUUUGCAAAAUAAUUUUUCGAUGCUUCCUUUGGAGAAAUCCAUGAUCAUCAAAUCCCCUGGGAUUCAGCAAGUUACUCAGAAUUUCUGUCAGAAUGUGGUCAUUGAGUUCAAAGGAUUGGAGUUUCACGCAAAUCUUAUUGUGUUGGAAAACAAAGGAUUAGAUGUCAUCCUAGGGAUGGACUGGCUGACCACCAACAAAGGUUUUAUUGACUGUUUCAAUCGGACCGUAAUCCUCACACACCACCACGGGAAGACGAUAAGAGUGUCAGCCAAGGAAGGAAAAAUACCCCGGCAACCUAGAUUGAAUAAGGUAGACGUUUCUGAACUAAACAAGGUUCCAGUGGUAUGUGAAUUUCCAGAUGUAUUCCCUGAAGAACUACCAGGCAUGCCACCAGACCGAGAGAUAGAAUUCUGCAUUGAGCUCGCACCAGGAACCACCCCCAUAUACAAGAAACCAUACAGAAUGGCACCAUCCGAGUUGGUUGAAUUGAAGAAGCAAAUAAAAGAAUUACUGGACAAAGGAUAUAUUCGAGCCAGCUCCUCACCUUGGGGAUCACCAAUUCUAUUUGCCAAAAAGAAGGAUGGAACACUGAGAUUGUGUAUUGACUAUCGAGCACUUAAUAUGGUCACAAUUAAGAACAAAUACCCGAUGCCAAGGAUAAACAAUUUGUUUGAUCAACUCGCUCAGACCAAGGUAUUUUCAAAAAUUGACUUAAGAUCUGGAUACCAUCAAUUAAAGGUGCGAACGGAAGAUAUCCCCAAAACAGCCUUCACUUCCAGAUAAGGACUGUAUGAGUUCACAGUAAUGCCAUUUGGGUUAACGAAUGCUCCUGCAUAUUUUGUUCACCUCAUGAACAAAGUAUUUAUGAAAUAUAUGGACAAGUUCGUCGUGGUAUUCAUCGACAAUAUUCUGGUAUACUCCAAAACACCAGAAGAGCACGCAGAUCAUCUCAGGAUCGUGCUAGGAGAACUCAGGAAACACCAAUUGUAUGCCAAGUUCAGCAAGUGCGAAUUUUGGCUAAGACAAGUAGGCUUUCUAGGCCACGUGCUAACCCAAGACGGUAUCGCAGUGGACCCAGAGAAAGUCAAGGCCAUACUUGGCUGGAAGUCGCCAGCCAGUGUAACAGAUAUACGUAGUUUCUUGGGAAUGGCAGGAUAUUACCGCAGAUUUAUUGAAGGAUUUUCCACCAUAGCCAAGCCUAUAACGUAGUUACUCAAGAAAGACAAGAAGUUUGAAUGGAUAGAAGCCUGCGAAAAGAGUUUCCAAGAGCUAAAGCGAAAAUUAACAACAGCACCAGUAUUAAUUGUGCCAGACAUACACAAGAAUUUUGAAGUGUUUUGUGACGCGUCCAGAAAGGGUCUCGGAUGCGUGUUGAUGCAGGAAGGCAAGGUUGUCGCCUAUGCUUCAAGGCAACUUCGCAAGCAUGAGGAAAAUUAUCCCACUCAUGACUUAGAAAUGGCAGCGGUCAUUCAUGCACUCAAAGAAUGGAGGCAUUUCUUACUUGGGAACCGAUGUGAAAUAUAUACAUAUCACAAAAGUCUCAAAUAUAUUUUCACGCAGCCAGAACUAAAUUUACGACAGAGACGCUGGUUGGAAUUGGUAAAGGAUUAUGAUGUUGGUAUCCAUUACCAUCCAGGAAAGGCAAAUGUAGUGGCCGAUGCUCUUAGUCGGAACCCCAACUCCGACGAAAGCAAUCUGCAAAGCUUGAGGCCCGAAUUCCAACAAGAAUUUGCCAAGCUCAAUUUGUUAAUGGUCGCAGAAGGCACCAUAUCAAACUUGGAAAUACGACCCGACCUUGUGGAGGAAAUUAAAAGAGCUCAGCCCGGUCACCCCAGCAUUGAAGGCAUCAAAAGAAAGGUGAGUAUGGGCAAGGCCUCGGAGUUCGUCAUAGACAAUGGAGGAAUAUUGUGGUACGGAGAAAGACUCUGCGUGCCAAACAUAGAAGACCUUAAACAGCAAAUCCUAGCUGAAGCCCAUACCACCCCGUACUCGAUCCACCCUGGCGAGACCAAGAUGUAUAAAGAUAUUCAGGAAAGAUUUUGGUGGCACGGUAUGAAGAGGGACAUAGCCACCUUCAUUACACGUUACGACUCGUGUCAACGCAUAAAAGCUGAGCAUCAGAGACCGGCCGGACUACUGCAACCAAACAAAAUACCUGAGUGGAAAUGGGAUGAAAUAGGGAUGGAUUUUAUUGUUGGGCUACCUCGGUCACAGCAUGGGAAUGAUGCCAUCUGGGUCAUCACUGACAGGUUAACCAAGGUGGCACAUUUCAUCCCAGUAAAGACAACCUACAACACUCAGCGGCUUGCCAGGAUUUAUCUCACCCGCAUAGUUUGUCUGCAUGGAGUCCCGAAGACUAUAAUAUCCGACAGAGGCACUCAGUUCGUCUCAAGAUUUUGGGAGCAUUUGCAACAGGCUCUGGGAACUCAACUAGCCUUCAGUACCGCAUAUCACCCACAGACCGAUGGACAAACGGAACGAGUAAACCAGAUUUUAGAAGACAUGCUGAGAGCAUGUGUCCUCACAUAUGGAACCAGUUGGGAAGAAAGCCUGCCAUACGCCGAAUUCGCGUACAACAAUAACUACCAGACCAGCCUGCAAAUGGCACCAUUUGAGGCUUUAUACGAACGGAGAUGUCGUACCCCGUUGAAUUGGUCAGAGACCAGAGACAGCCGCAUCUUCGGACCGGACAUGCUCAGAGAAGCCGAGGAAAAAGUCAAGCUAAUCAGAGACCGACUUAAGACCGCUCAAAGUCGACAGAAGAGUUAUUAUGAUCAGAAACAUCAUAGGGUCAGCUUCGAGCCCGGUGAGUUCGUAUACCUGAAAGUAUCUCCUAUGAGAGGAUUGCAACGAUUCAAGAUUAAAGGGAAGCUAGCACCAAGAUUCAUUGGACCAUUCUAUAUAAUGGCGCGAAGAGGCAAGGUAGCCUACUAGCUAGACUUACCCAAGGAAUUAUCCGAUGUCCACGACGUGUUCCACGUCUCGCAAUUGAGGAAGUGGAUGAGCAACACAGAGAAACAAGUAUCCCAUGAGAGCAUUGACGUACAGCCAGACCUCACUUAUCGGGAACGUCCAGUAAGAAUAAUAGAGGAGUCUGAAAGGAGAACCCGACAUAAGACCACCAAAUUCUUCAGAGUACAGUGGAGCAAUCACACCGACAGUGAAGCUACUUGGGAAAGAGAGGAUUUUCUUCGGACAGAGCAUCCACACUUAUUUAAGGAUCAGCUGAAAUCUCGGGGACGAGAUUUUUCCUAAGGGGGUAGGUGUUGUGACACUCCAAAAUUUUUGAUUUGGUUUUCAUCAAAAACUUUAUUGGAUUCUAAAGGAGGGCCUUCAAAAAUUUCUCUUUCAGAAAAAACCUUCCUCUUCAAAAACUUCCUUUCACCUUUGGCAAGGAUUUCCUUUCCUUUUCAAUUUUGAUGUUAAAAUUUUGGAAGCCUUUCUUCUGGUUAUUUCCCUCUCAAACUUAUUUAUUUUCAUUUAAAAAAAAGAAACCCUAGGAGUUUUGGGACUUCUUUCUUUUUGAAAUCACCCUUGAUUUCACCAUGUCACAGGUGAUAAAACCACUCCAAAACCUCCCCUCCCUCUUGGAUCAACCUAAGUUCUCUGUCCCAACUAAUCCAAGCAGGUUUUGUAUUUUAUUUCAAACAUUUUUCAUCUCAAAUCAUUUUUGUCAAUUAUUUGGAGUCUGAGCCAUUUACAAAGCAAGUACCUUAUUUCCUUUGAGUUUUGAUCUCAAACCAACUCCUCUGGUUUGUCCUUAGCAUCCACAACUCAGAACCAUCUUGAUCCACUCUACUUCUUUUCAAAUUUUUCAAAUUUCAGCCUCUGCAAGUUUGGACCAGAUUUGCCAAAUUUGGUGAAAUUCAUAUCUACAUUCACCCAAAAAUUCUACAAAAAUUCAGGCAGCCUACUGGAUCAAAGAGUAGCCACUCCACCAAAAAUCAGCUCUAGGAAAAAUCCCUAGAGGCCUGAAUCAUUCUGUCGAACACCUUGCAUACACUGAAUUUUUGCACUUUCAGUAAUUCAGUAAGUUCAGAGUUCAGUGUCGUUUUCCCUCGCCCGAUUCAGUCACGCGUGGACAGUGCGCUUGGCACGAUCCUCGCCGCCUCUCCCUCUUGUCUGGAGUGCCGCACGCGCGCUUGGCGCCUUCCGGGCGUCGGUGGCGCCCUAGCCCGCCUGCGCCGGCGUGUCCCGCGGCGGCCGAUCCACCAUUACGGCCGACAGGAAGCAAAACGGCGGCGCAACGCUGUUCGGCGCCGCCCAACUCUCCCUGGCUCUCCGCGUGGCACAUGCAAUGCCAGCACAGCCCGCUGCACAGUCACCGUGGCCCGGCAAGCACGGAACGCGCUCCCUGCCGCCGACGUGCCGCACGGCCGUUUCGUUGGAGCCGGCCGUAAACUCUUCCCCCCGUGCUGAGCUGGACCCCGGAAUGGAACCUCUACUCCACCUAGUCGAUGCCUAUACCCCUAAUCCCUCUGCCCAACCCCGGCACCGCCGUAAUCGCUCGCCGGACUUAUCCCGUGCGCGGCAACCGCCUCGGGCUGGCUAUAUAUAGCACCCCCGGGUUCCCUCUCGCCCCCGCACAUCUCCACUACCUCUCUGGACCCCGACCAACAGCUAGAAGAGCCUCGAGGGGCCCUUCUUCCUCGACUCCGGCCGCCUCGAUCCGCCUCGGCCUCCACCUCGAUUCGCUCCGGUGAGGCCGUCCCCGGCGCCCAAACUUCGUCAAUAGCUCCCUCGAGCACCCAGUAAGCUAACCCACGCACCAAUUUGACCUUCGCAGCUCUUCCCGGCGAAGUCCACCUCCACCCGAGCCGCCGUCCGCCGGAGAAAGGCUCGUCGUCGACGUGGUGCUCGCCGGCGACCACCACCACCACCAACCGACGCGGAAGAACGUCCUGAGCAAGGAGGUACCCUCCGAUCCCCUUGCCUCGCCGUGGAUCGCCGCCGGCGACCACCGCGGCUCUCGGGCUCCGUCGAGCUCAGCCGCCCAUUUUGAAAUUUCAAACCUGACGGGUGGGACCUGCCCGUCAGCCUCUCUGUCUCUUUCAAAACGAACCGUUUCUGAAAGCGUAUUCUACCAAAUGUGUUUUCCCUCCUGGGCUGGCGUAUUCUCUGCCGAAGCGUUUUCAGUUUUUAUGAGCUAGCCCCUGGAAAUAUUCUGUUUUAUUACAGAUGAGUCCCUGGACUAAAACCCUUAUAACUUUUAAACAGAAAAGUAUUUUUGAUUGAUUCUUUUUCUGUCCUCUUUGAAAUUUUGUCUAGUUUUUUAUCAGAUUUAUUUGAAAAAAAUUUGGAAUACUUUUUGUGCACUUCUUGGUAUUUACGAUAGCACCUAUUUUUUUUUGUAUACCGUAGAUACCGAAGGAGGUGACGGAGCCGCGAACUUCACCGAGCUAGGUUCCGACUACUCCGAACCAGGCAAGCAUGUUUGAACUUUUGAUAUGAUGAAUGUCUUGGCAUGUUUUGCAUUUAGUUAGUUUCAUGGCAUGUUGAUGAGCAUACCCAUGAACGUUAUUUUCAUGCAUGAUCAAGGUAAGUGAGCUCGAUGAUCCAUAAGUGGAUUGGAUGUGAGUAUGAAAGGCCAUGGGUUGGCAUGAGGAUGGGUAAGAUGGCAGUGUUGUAGCAUGCCAGUCUUAUGCCAAACUAUUUGACUACUGUGUCAAAUCGUAUCGGUCCAGUUCCUACCUUUUCCUUCCUUGUACUACCACAUGUUUUCCGCAAGGAAUAUGGCUUAGUAAGUUGCAAACCGCUUUCCUGGUACACACCAAAAGGAGAUGCCGGGAUGAUGGUUCCAUGGCCCUAGAUUAAAGCCAGUCAUCCGGUCAGGGGGCAUGGGUGUUUCCGGUUGGGACCGAGAGGGGGGCACCCCUUAGAGCGCGCGUAUAUAAAUUUGAUCCCAUGCUAUUCGAGAUUGUGAUCUCCCCAUCUCAAAGUUUUUCUUGGACGAUGUCUAGGGUGAGUCCUGGCAUCGAGAGAUAGGAUGGGUGUGUACUGGAUUGCUGUGUUUUCUUCCGAAAUACCGUAAACGGAACUAGUCCUUCGAGACUACGGAAAUCCGUUAGCUGUGGGGAAUUUUUGUACAAACUCUGCAGAGUCAUAAAUCUCCAAAUCAUCUUAUCCAUAUCCAAAUAUUGCGCUAACUUAUUCUGACAAGUGCCAGUUUUUGGUGACAGAUACUCCGGUGAAUCUCAUGAGCACUAAGCCCGGUUAACAGUUUAUUCCUGUGGAUGGACUAACCCGUUUAUUAUCAUGAACUGAAUAUUUAUUAUGAGUAUUGUUUACUUGUGGAUUAAAGCCCUUUCUGUGAUGUCGCUCAGACGUCCGACUGUGGCAUUUAUUUUAAAGCCCUUUCUGUGAUGUCGCUCAGACGUCCGACUGUGGCAUUUCUUUUAAAGCCCUUUCUGUGAUGUCGCUCAGACAUCCGACUGUGGCAUUUCUUUUAAAGCCCUUUCUGUGAUGUCGCUCAGACGUCCGACUAUGGCAUUUCUUUUAAAGCCCUUUCUGUGAUGUCACUCAGACGUCCGACUGUGGCAUGAUUUUUUUUGUUAUUAUUUGUUCACCCUUCGAGGCGUCGCUUUAGACACCCGAUCGGUUCUCAUUUAUAUUCUGUUGGGAUUUCAGGCGGACUACCGCCGUUUCCCUCGCACUUAUUUCGUUAUGCAAAUAUUUUAAUUGUGCAUUGGGAAGAUUAUUCAUGACGCAUCCAUGCAUGCAUUUGUUAUAUCUUACGUCCGAACUGUCUUGCGAGUACUUUCAAAGUACUCACUGGCUUGUUGAUUUGGCCAGAUGCUGACGAAGGCGAUCUCAUGGAUGAAGAGUUCGAUAGCGAGUCCGACGCCUAGAGGAAUCCCAGUCAGUCUCGUGCGACCCUGGUCUUGGUCACAGUUUUAUAACUGCUUCCGCAACCCGAAUAAAUUUAUCGAGCCUCACCUCGACGCUCGAUGAGAUGCCAGUUUGAGAGUCGUGUUACCACACUCCCCAUUGUGUUAUUCCACCACCACUAUAUCCUCGAGUCAGUAGUAUGCCACCACACCAUCAUGUUAUAUCCGCCAUUAUGUAUAAUUAUUGGCGCACUUGUAAUAAUUCGUUGAGCAGCCCUAGCUCAACCCUGUAAUAUAUUCUAUGCUACUGGCUUAUUGUAUCAAGUAUUUGUCUACCAGUGAGGAGGAUUUUCUCUCAUACUGGACUCAAAGAUUGGUUUCUCAAUAAAUAUUUUUAUUGGAAAACCGGUCGUGACAA
rnacentral:lncRNA from 1 species